AGCCAAAGCCUCGUCCCGCCGCCCCUAAAGUCGCCGCCGCCAAGCGCUCCCCCGCCAGCAAGGUCCCCCGCAGCAACAAGGAACAGCUCCGGAAGAAGGCCAUCGCUAAGAAGCUCGCCGCCACCCCCGCCAAGUGAUCCCCCCCACUACUCCCCCCUUCGUCCCUCCCUCGACCCCAUGGGGGGUUGGGCUGCAAAUAAACCUCUUAUACGUU